AUUGAACGCUGGCGGAAUGCUUUACACAUGCAAGUCGAACGGUAGAGGGGGCAACCCCUUGAGAGUGGCGAACGGGUGAGUAAUAUAUCGGAACGUGCCCAGUCGUGGGGGAUAACGUAGCGAAAGUUACGCUAAUACCGCAUACGAUCUAAGGAUGAAAGCGGGGGAUCGUAAGACCUCGCGCGACUGGAGCGGCCGAUAUCAGAUUAGGUAGUUGGUAGGGUAAAGGCCUACCAAGCCAACGAUCUGUAGCUGGUCUGAGAGGACGACCAGCCACACUGGAACUGAGACACGGUCCAGACUCCUACGGGAGGCAGCAGUGGGGAAUUUUGGACAAUGGGCGAAAGCCUGAUCCAGCCAUUCCGCGUGCAGGAUGAAGGCCCUCGGGUCGUAAACUGCUUUUGUACAGAACGAAAAGGUUUCUAUUAAUACUAGGAGCUCAUGACGGUACUGUAAGAAUAAGCACCGGCUAACUACGUG
rnacentral:rRNA from 1 species